GGGAACCUCACCCGGCCCGGACACCGCGAGGAUUGACAGACUGAGAGCUCUUUCUCGAUUCGGUGGGUGGUGGUGCAUGGCCGUUCUUAGUUGGUGGAGCGAUCUGUCUGGUUAAUUCCGAUAACGAACGAGACCCCAACCUGCUAACUAGCCCUCGGGUCCUGCUUCUGUUGGGCCCGACGGAAUGAUUCGCUUCUUAGAGGGACUCGCGGCGCCUAGCCGCACGAAGGGGGACAAUAA
rnacentral:rRNA from 1 species